CUGGUUCCUAGACGACCAGACAGUGGACCUAAGUCUGGGUGAGCCUUAGGCAGCUGCACCAUUCGCCCUUUGUAGCCCAUCUGAACUCCUGCCACCGUUGCAACAGCCACUCGGAUGAAACACUUGGGGACCGAGUGGUCAGGCAGGUCUCGCCUUUGUGAAACAGAGGAGGAGAACGCACGCCUGGAAAAGUUCGUGCCCAUCUUCCGCUGGUGACUUUCCCGACUCCCCGCUCUGCGCGCGAUGGUUCCGUGGACGCCCUGCUAACGGAGAAAUGCUGAGAAAGCCGACCUUUGGACAGACACUGCGCUGUUUCUUACACACUUAUCACCUGUUUGCCUCCGGGACAACCUGCUUGAACUUACUUCCCUGAGAACCCCAGGAAGGGGGCAGUUGGGCGGGAAGCGACCGACCAAAGGUGCCAGUGACAGUUCUUCGGUUUCCAGUGUGAAUUACAGAAAACAGCAGCAGUUUCGUGAGUAGCCGUGAUUCUACUGUCAGAUGACAGGUUAGCUACAGUUGAUCUAAGGUAUUCAAAAGGAAAUGUGUAAGCUCUGUGCAAAAACUCCACCACAUGACACAAAGGCUCGAGCACCCCGGACUGGGA
rnacentral:lncRNA from 1 species